rnacentral:rRNA from 1 species
CUACAAACGCUGGCGGUAGGCUAAACACAUGCAAGUCGAACGGAAACGAUGAAAAGCUUGCUUUUCAGGCGUCGAGUGGCGGACGGGUGAGUAACGCGUGGGAAUCUACCCUAUAGUUGGGGACAACAUAUGGAAACGUAUGCUAAUACCGAAUAAGCUCUACGGAGUAAAGGAGCCCACUUCCUGAAAGGUUUCGCUAUAGGAUGAGCCCGCGUUAGAUUAGCUAGUUGGUAAGGUAACGGCUUACCAAGGCCACGAUCUAUAGCUGGUUUGAGAGGAUGAUCAGCCACACUGGGACUGAGACACGGCCCAGACUCCUACGGGAGGCAGCAGUGGGGAAUAUUGCACAAUGGACGCAAGUCUGAUGCAGCCAUACCGCGUGUGUGAAGAAGGCCCGAGGGUUGUAAAGCACUUUCAGUAGGGAGGAAGAUACUAGGGUUAAUACCCCUAUUAUUUGACGUUACCUACAGAAGAAGCACCGGCUAACUCUGUGCCAGCAGCCGCGGUAAUACAGAGGGUGCAAGCGUUAUUCGGAAUUACUGGGCGUAAAGCGCGCGUAGGCGGAUGAUUAAGUCAGUUGUGAAAGCCCUGGGCUCAACCUAGGAACGGCAUCUGAUACUGGUCAUCUAGAGUUUAAGAGAGGGAAGUGGAAUUCCAGGUGUAGCAGUGAAAUGCGUAGAUAUCUGGAGGAACAUCAGUGGCGAAGGCGACUUCCUGGCUUAAAACUGACGCUGAGGUGCGAAAGCGUG